rnacentral:RNase_P_RNA from 18 species
CGAGUUGGUCAGACAAUCGCUGGUUUAUUGAAGCCCUUAAUACCGAAAGGUUAGCCUGAAACAGGUGAUAAGCGGGACAAGUAGACGAGAGGAAAGUCCGGGCUACAUAGGGCAGAGUGCCGGAUAACGUCCGGGGGGCGCGAGCCUACGACAAGUGCAGCAGAGAGCAGACCGCCGUUUUUAAUAAAACGGUAAGGGUGAAAGGGUGCGGUAAGAGCGCACCGCGCGGGUGGUAACAUUCCGCGGCAAGGUAAACUCCACUCGUAGCAAGACCAAAUAGGAACUCAAUGAGUGUGCCCGCUCAGAGUUCGGGUAGGUUGCUUGAGCGACGGAGCAAUUCGUCGCCUAGAGGAAUGAUUGUCCGCGACAGAACCCGGCUUAUCGACCGACUCAUUCA